rnacentral:rRNA from 1 species
CACGCGGUAAACGAUGAAUGCUAGGUGUAGGGGGUAUCGACCCCUCCUGUGCCGGAGUAAACGCAAUAAGCAUUCCGCCUGGGGAGUACGGCCGCAAGGUUGAAACUCAAAGGAAUUGACGGGGGCCCGCACAAGCAGCGGAGCAUGUGGUUUAAUUCGACGCAACGCGAAGAACCUUACCAGGUCUUGACAUCCAACUAAAGCGGCGGAGAUGCCGUGUCCCUUCGGGGGAGUUGAGACAGGUGG